UACAGAGGGUGCGAGCGUUGUCCGGAAUUAUUGGGCGUAAAGGGCUCGUAGGCGGUUUGUCGCGUCGGGAGUGAAAUCCACUGGCUUAACUGGUGGCUUGCUUUCGAUACGGGCAGACUGGAGGUAUGCAGGGGAGAACGGAAUUCCUGGUGUAGCGGUGAAAUGCGCAGAUAUCAGGAGGAACACCGGUGGCGAAGGCGGUUCUCUGGGCAUGUCCUGACGCUGAGGAGCGAAAGUGUGGGAGCGAACAGG
rnacentral:rRNA from 1 species